ACAUAUAAAAGUGUUCGGUUAAUAUUUUUAUGAAGGUCAUCGAAAAUAGACAAAGCAUAUGCUUGGAUUGGAGAAGUAUGGAAAUGCCCAAAGUGGCCAACCUUCAUUGUAGCCCCUUGUCCCAAUGGCGAACUUCCAGGCUCGAGCUGUCAAACUAACAGAGAGUGUUUGAUUUUUGGGAGACUCUGUUGCAUGGACUGGAGGGAUUGUAACUAUAAGUGUACAAGAGUUUUCUAAAUUUCAGUAACUUCCUGAUCCCUGGGUUGUUUGCUUUGAUUCAAUUUAUUUCUCUGAAACUAUCUAUAGCAAAAAGUUAAUAAAAUAAAUCUUUAUUAAACUGA